ACGGGAGGCAGCAGUGAGGAAUAUUAGGCAAUGGGGGGAACCCUGACCUAGCAACGCCGCGUGAAGGAAGACGGUCUUCGGAUUGUAAACUUCUUUGAUCAGGGACGAAGAAAGUGACGGUACCUGAUGAAUAAGCCACGGCUAACUACGUGCCAGCAGCCGCGGUAAUACGUAGGUGGCAAGCGUUAUCCGGACUUACUGGGUGUAAAGGGCGCGUAGGCGGGGAUGCAAGUCAGAUGUGAAAUCCAUGGGCUUAACUCAUGAACUGCAUUUGAAACUGUAUCUCUUGAGUGUCGGAGAGGUAGAUGGAAUUCCUAGUGUAGCGGUGAAAUGCGUAGAUAUUAGGAGGAACACCAGUGGCGAAGGCGAUCUACUGGACGAUAACUGACGCUGAGGCGCGAAAGCGUGGGGAGCAAACAGGAUUAGAUACCCUGGUA
rnacentral:rRNA from 1 species